rnacentral:rRNA from 1 species
UGGGGAAUUUUGGACAAUGGACGCAAGUCUGAUCCAGCCAUGCCGCGUGCGGGAAGAAGGCCUUCGGGUUGUAAACCGCUUUUGUCAGGGAAGAAACGAGUUUCUCUAAUACAGAGACUUAAUGACGGUACCUGAAGAAUAAGCACCGGCUAACUACGUGCCAGCAGCCGCGGUAAUACGUAGGGUGCGAGCGUUAAUCGGAAUUACUGGGCGUAAAGCGUGCGCAGGCGGUUAUAUAAGACAGAUGUGAAAUCCCCGGGCUCAACCUGGGAACUGCAUUUGUGACUGCAUAGCUGGAGUGCGGCAGAGGGGGAUGGAAUUCCGCGUGUAGCAGUGAAAUGCGUAGAUAUGCGGAGGAACACCGAUGGCGAAGGCAAUCCCCUGGACCUGUACUGACGCUCAUGCACGAAAGCGUGGGGAGCAAACA